GAUUGAAAUCAAAGGUUUGUUUCAAUUUUUAGUAUAGUAACAUAUAUUUUAAUCCAAUCUGUGAAUUUAUGAAUGGAGCUGCCAUACUUUGCAGUCAUUAGUAUCACCUAAUUAUUAAAAAUUAUUAAUGCUGAGGUAUCACUCAGAUAUUUUAGACCAGUAGUUUUCAACAUGCAGGCUGUGACCCAUUUGGAGUUUGCAUAUGAAAUAUUUACAUCAUGAUAUAUAACUAGAAAAAUUGCAGUUUUUAAAGGAGCAAAUAAAUAGUCUUAUGGUUGGGGGUCAACACAACUUUAGAAACUGCAUUAAAUUGUUUCAACAUUGAGAAGGUUGAGAAUCACUGCUCUAGACAUUUUGAUUGACAUGAAAAGUUUAUAAUGUGUGUGUAAAAUACCCCAGUCAUAUUCCUGAUAAUGCUAAUAUGUAAUGAAAUUUGACAGCUACUGGUGUAAGAGAAGAACAAUAAAUUAGAAAGCUGUUAUUAAUACUAUACAGAUACAAGUAUAAAAUAAAAGGAAUUCAAAGAUAAAUGAAAUUAUUUAUUACAAAAGGAAUCAUUAGACAACUAGUGCAUAGCUAAAAAGAGAUUCUCUGACCCACUGGUCAUUUUAAGCUUUUAAUCUUUAAAUUAUGUUGGCUUUUAUCUUGUGUUUGAUUUUACUGAUGCCUUAUCAUGGAAUCCAGUUGUUAGCCUCAGUGAUUUGCCUUUCUAGUGCCCAAGAUCUGGGAUUACAAGCGUGUAUUACCAUCCCCAACUGUUUGCAUUUGUGUUUCAGGGGGGAAAUCAGGUCUACAUGCUUGAUGGGCAUGCGUUCUAUCAGCUGAGCUAUUUUCUUAAUUACUGGAUUUAAUUUGCACAUAAAUCAGUAUGCUUUGGAUUAUAGUGUCCAGUGUGGCCUAAGGUUCAAAAAUUGGAUUUCCUACAUAAAUUGUUUUGACCAUACAUAAAAUGUGACCAUCUCUUAUAUGUUGCAGUCUGAGACAUUCUUAAACAUAAAAUUUGCUGUUUAUGGGUGUCUUGACACAGAUCUUUAGUUUCAGCUCUUGGAAAGUAAAGAUAGGCUGAUUUUCAUGAAUUCAUGGCCAUUCUAAUCUAGAAAGAGAGUUGUCGGCCAUCCAGCGGUAUAUAAUAAGACCAUUUCUCAAAAAACAAAACCCACAAAUUUUCCUUUUUACGGGCAAAGUUACUUUUUUGUCUCCUAUCAGAGAUAAGCUGUCCACUCAAUCAUGAUGUCCACUGAUAUCAGAUUGGUUCUUUGGUUGUUUGAUUAUAGCUUAUAUAGAUAAUUUUAUUACUUCAAUAAAAUUAUUCUUUUUUUCAUCACCAGUGUUACUUAAAGUCACUCUGUUUUCCUUCUCUUUUUGCUUUGAGUUUAGUAAUGCUAGAAGUCCCUUUCCUUGAUCCUUUUAUUUUUAACCUGUCUACUUUCUUUGUAUUGCAGUAAUACAUCUUUGUCUUUUUAUAUUGAGAAUAUGACUUAUGCUAGAUAGAUUGCUUAGCAUACAUGAGUCCUAUUUUUUAGUCCCUAGGUCUGACUAAAAAGAAAAGAGAACUAAAUCUUGCUUCUGUUUAAAAUAUUUUUUCCUUCGAAUUCUGAAGUUUGACUUUUUUGAACUUUUUUGUAAUUAACUGGGUUGUUUGUUUGCCUUCUUUCUUCUGGUUAUUUUAGUAUUUUCUGUUUCAGCUUAUGCAGCCUAAAAUAGUGUUACUAUCCUAUGAUUAUGCCUUUGUUUAUAGGGUUUUCCUAACUUUGUUGUUCUCUGAAAUAUUAUCCCCAUUGUUUGUUCCCAGUUCUGCCUUCAGAGUUGAUAAUCUCUUUUAAUUACUACAUUCCCUUGUAAUGUUAUUUACUAACUCACUUAUGUUUGUCCUCAUCUCUUUGUUUAAAUUAGAAAUUCUUUGC
rnacentral:lncRNA from 1 species